AUACCAGCCCUGGUGCCAGCCCUGAUACCCGCCCUGAUACCCGCCCUGAUACCAGCCCUGAUACCAGCCCUGAUACCUGCCCCAGAUACCAGCCCUGAUACCUGCCCUGAUACCUGCCCUGAUACCAGCCCUGAUACCUGCCCUGAUACCCGCCCUGAUACCUGCCCUGAUACCAGGCACAGCCAACCACCGCACGGACAGGCUCCACUACACAGCCAACCACCCCACAGACAGGCUCCACUACACAGCCAGACACCCCACAGACAGGCUCCACUACACAGCCAACCACCCCACGGACAGGCUCCACUACACAGCCAACCACCCCACAGACAGGCUCCACUACACAGCCAACCACCGCACGGACAGGCUCCACUACACAGCCAACCACCCCACAGACAGGCUCCACUACACAGCCAGACACCCCACAGACAGGCUCCACUACACAGCCAACCACCCCACAGACAGGCUCCACUACACAGCCAGACACCCCACAGACAGGCUCCACUACACAGCCAGACACCCCACAGACAGGCUCCACUACACAGCCAACCACCCCACGGACAGGCUCCACUACACAGCCAACCACCCCACAGACAGGCUCCACUACACAGCCAACCACCCCACAGACAGGCUCCACUACACAGCCAACCACCCCACAGACAGGCUCCACUACACAGCCAACCACCGCACGGACAGGCUCCACUACACAGCCAACCACCCCACAGACAGGCUCCACUACACAGCCAACCACCCCACAGACAGGCUCCACUACACAGCCAACCACCCCACAGACAGGCUCCACUACACAGCCAACCACCCCACAGACAGGCUCCACUACACAGCCAACCACCCCACAGACAGGCUCCACUACACAGCCAGACACCUUGCUACUCAACCCAACAAAACGGACACGCUGUGAUUGCCUCCUGGGAUGACCUGUUUUGAAGAAUGUCCCGACCACCUGUUGCUCCUGAGACAAGAUGGCUCCCAGAAUCAGUUCCUUUUCCUUUUCUCCCGUGACAUAAUCCAGUUUGUUUUGCUACAUUACUGACUGACAUGUUGUUGCAGUGUCAUGUACACAUUUAAAGUGGCGGUUAAAUAAAAAA
rnacentral:lncRNA from 1 species